CUGCUGGAAAGAAAGAAUAAACUUAAUGCAUCGCCAGUGCCCCUCAUUGAUCGUAGAAAGAUGGAGGAGUCAACUGAUGCAAAACCUAAAAAAUCCAAAUAUCCAUUCGCGAUAUUUUUCAUCGCUGGAUUUGAGUUGCUUCAGCGACUGUGUCUGUUUUGGAUGCGGACAAUUUUACUUCUCUACCUAGUGCAGCAGCUUGGCUUUCCUGAGGAUUUUUCCACCUUGAUUUACCACUCGUUCAACGUCAUUCUCUUCGCCACUCCCAUUUUCGGUGGAAUUAUUGCCGAUAACUGGCUUGGCAG